rnacentral:rRNA from 1 species
CUACGUAGGGUGCGAGCGUUGUCCGGAAUUACUGGGCGUAAAGAGCUCGUAGGUGGUUUGCCGCGUCGUCUGUGAAAUUCCGGGGCUUAACUCCGGGCGUGCAGGCGAUACGGGCAUAACUUGAGUACUGUAGGGGAGACUGGAAUACCUGGUGUAGCGGUGAAAUGCGCAGAUAUCAGGAGGAACACCGGUGGCGAAGGCGGGUCUCUGGGCAGUAACUGACGCUGAGGAGCGAAAGCAUGGGUAGCGAACAGGAUUAGAUACCCUGGUAGUCCAUGCCGUAAACGGUGGGCGCUAGGUGUAGGGGUCUUCCACGACUUCUGUGCCGUAGCUAACGCAUUAAGCGCCCCGCCUGGGGAGUACGGCCGCAAGGCUAAAACUCAAAUGAAUUGGCGGGG